rfam:Ixodes scapularis strain Wikel colony gcontig_1107728632386, whole genome shotgun sequence.
UGGUUAGCUCAGUUGGUAGAGCGCUCCACCUGUAAUGGAGAGGUCCCGGGUUCGAUACCCGGACCA